rnacentral:rRNA from 1 species
GACGAACGCUGGCGGCGUGCUUAACACAUGCAAGUCGAACGGAAAGGCCCUGCUUUUGUGGGGUGCUCGAGUGGCGAACGGGUGAGUAACACGUGAGUAACCUGCCCUUGACUUUGGGAUAACUUCAGGAAACUUGGGCUAAUACCGGAUAGGAGCUCCUGCUGCAUGGUGGGGGUUGGAAAGUUUGGGCGGUUGGGGAUGGACUCGCGGCUUAUCAGCUUGUUGGUGGGGUAGUGGCUGACCAAGGCUUUGACGGGUAGCCGGCCUGUGAGGGUGGCCGGCCAGCUUGGGACUGAGAUACAGACCAGACUGCUACGGGCGGCAGGAGUGGGGAAUAUUGCACAGAGGGCGGAAGCCUGCUGGAGCAACGCCGCGUGCGGGAUGACGGCAUUCGGGUUGUAAACCGCUUUCGCCUGUGACGAAGCGUGAGUGAGGGUAAUGGGUAAAGAAGCACCGGCAAACUACGU